UAUAUUUUAGUGUAAGAUGCACAUAAAUUUUUGAUAUUUAAUGAUUCAGUUUGAUUCUGAGAGAUAUAA
rnacentral:tRNA from 1 species